CCAGGAGCAUCUUUAAAUCAGAGUAAAUAAAUUGGAAAAACAAAGAAUCAGAGAUUUCCCCAAAGAAGCAAAGUUAACAAGGCUAGCAGGAGGCCAGCUAGUGUCGUGACCUUGUUAAAAAAUAUCUCCUCACCACCACCAUUAAAGUCAUCUUGGUCUAUAUAGUCACAUUCUUUUCACGUAAGAAAGCUGUAGGAUUUACCACGUGCAGCAAUAAGAUAGUAGAGCCUCAGCCCUGGUUCUUCAGAAACAGUGGCACAGACCUGCUUCCAUUCUGAACACUACUACAUCCAGUAAGCGAGCCCUUAUAGAGGCAGCACACACCGCCAGAAGUGAGAGUGGCACCAGCAAGCUCCUUCCUUAGGAACUACACUCAGCAUCUCAGCAUCAAGCUGCCAUAGCUUUGCACUGUGUCUGUGAGCCUCUGUGCUUUUUGUGCGUUUGUUACCAAGAGGUGUCCUAAAGUAUCAG